GCCCCGAUGGUGAAAUCGGUAGACACAGCGGACUUAAAAUCCGCCGCCACCAACAUGGCGUGCCGGUUCAAGUCCGGCUCGGGGCACCA
rnacentral:tRNA from 1 species